UACGAAGGGGGCUAGCGUUGCUCGGAAUCACUGGGCGUAAAGGGUGCGUAGGCGGGUCUUUAAGUCAGGGGUGAAAUCCUGGAGCUCAACUCCAGAACUGCCUUUGAUACUGGCGAUCUCGAGUCCGGGAGAGGUGAGUGGAACUGCGGGUGUAGAGGUGAAAUGCGUAGAUAUCUGGAGGAACACCGGUGGCGAAGGCGGCAUCCUGGACCAACACUGACGCUGAGUGAGCGAAAGCCAGGGGAGCAAACGGG
rnacentral:rRNA from 1 species